rnacentral:lncRNA from 1 species
UUUAAUCUGAGCCAUCCAUCAUGAUUUAAUCUGGGCCGUCAGAUCGCGAUUAAAUUAAAAAUAAAUCUGGGCCGUCCAUCGCGAUGCGAUCUGAGCCGUCCGUGCGUGAUCAAAUAUGGGCUGUCCGCACGCGUGAAUCUGGGCUGUCCACGCGCGCCUUUGAUCUGGGCCGUCCGUGCACGCGGGAAUGGAUCUGGGCUGUUCGAUCGCACGCACGCGGAUCGCCCAUGU